CCGGCGACCGGCGCACGGGUGAGUAACACGUAUGCAACCUGCCCUCUUCAGGGGGACAACCUUCCGAAAGGGAGGCUAAUCCCGCGUAUAUCGGUUUCGGGCAUCCGAGAUCGAGGAAAGAUUCAUCGGAAGAGGAUGGGCAUGCGGCGCAUUAGCUAGACGGCGGGGUAACGGCCCACCGUGGCGACGAUGCGUAGGGGUUCUGAGAGGAAGGUCCCCCACACUGGUACUGAGACACGGACUAGACUCCUACGGAAGGCAGCAG
rnacentral:rRNA from 1 species